GGAGACUGUAUGCAAUGCCAUUAAAGGUACUAAAGGCACAGGGCAGCAGGGAGUCCGGAAAAGUACAAUGGCAGGAUAUGAGUACCGGUCCAAUGCAUCUGUCAAUUCUGAUUCUGGGAGAGUGUUGGGUGCCAUUACAUGUGGUCACAUGCAGCACGACUGGACCGACUGGCAGGACCAUUGAAGACGGGUUUGGAUUGGUGAUGCUUUAGUUUGUGCUAUUAGGGGAGUUCUGUUUCUGUGCCAGAAAGCGUCUUUGGUUUUUGGUGACAGUGUGGAAAUUCCCUUAAGUUAAAAAGUUCUCGGCAAAAGGGUUAUUUGAAACAGAAAAGUAUAUUUAUUGAUAUGAUCUUGAGCAUUGGUGAUAAAACACGUGUCUACGUGUAACGCGGACAAAUGUCGUACAGGCAUGUGUAUGAACACGUAUGCACCCAGCGGGAUUCCAAUUUGCUAUGCCUGCAUGCGUGCAUGUUUUGAAGGGCUUGUUGAUGGCCCGCAGCAUGAUGAACAAACACACCUGGUGAUAACAAUCUUUCAUCAAGUCUCAUUCACUUGUAAAUUAAAAGAGAAAGUGUGAUGAGGAAAUCCCCGUAGUGAGUAGAAUUAGCUUGGACAGCUGGCCUAAGGCUACAGGAAAGUCAUUAAAAGAUCCCAACCGCCAGUGCGCACUAUUAGAAUCAUUUAUUCAUAAUUUAUACAUCCAAGCGUGGGCCAGGGCUUGCCAAACCUGCCUUCAUUUCUGGAUCGGAGAAUGAAAUGACUGUGGGAACUGAAAUAAUUGGUUGCGUAUGGGGCACUUGUACUAUUAGCUGGAGUACAAAAUGUCACAGCGUUCACAGAGAGCUAAAUGAUGUGGUCAAAUCUACAUGAGGAAAAUGAUGAGAACAGCUAGUCCUCCACGACAAUUAGGGUUUAUGUCACCCCUAUUAAAUGAACCAUGUUGCAUGAAACAGAACGAUUAUUGGGCUCAGCCGCUGCAGCUCCUCACCAAUCAUGUGAUCAUUGCAGUAUUGCAGAACCAAGCCGACGAAAACGACGCCGUCAAACACACCUCGGUGGCUUGUCAGGGCGACCAAGGUUUUUAUUUUCCAACCCUCAUGUCAACUGUGCCCUGCAGCUUGUUUACUGCUGUGAAGAAAUCCCAUCUUGCAUCUAAUCAAAUCAAGCAAGUGAAGCCAUGUAUUUGCAGUGUGACUCUUGUAUUCCAAGUCAUUCGCUUUUUUUUUUCUUUCCCGCUUUACGAAGAAGGAAAAUCACCGAUGUGUUCAAUGUCUUUCACAAUCUGCAAACAACAUGAAGGACGGCGGCGGAGAUGUGAGAACAAGUUUGGGGAAUAAUGACAAAUCGCUGGUGGUGAUACUGGUUUUGUCUGACCGGCUGACUCAUCCCGGCAGUGACAAGCACUCCGGGCUCUUUUUACAGAAACCAUAGAGAAGAAGAACAUUGCGGAAGGAAGGCUUUGCUCCGUGGUUGAAGUCACUAAUGAAGAAGGACGUCUGAAGUGCAGAGAUUUGAACAUGUGUAUCUUCAAGGGUCUAAUUCCGGAAAUCAAAAUGACACAGUCAUCAAGGAGGAUCCCAGCGUGAUAAUCCCGGGGUGAAUAUUAUUUGUUUGUCAACGAGGGCAGCGUUGACUUAAGGCCCACACCGGCUCUCACGGGGGCCGUCGGCGAUACGCCGACCCGACCCAGUUCCAACCGACGGCUGACCUACUUAUUCCGCUUGACCUGCUGCAACAGAAGACGGCGCGGCGGCCAUCGUGAGCUUCCUUCACGGUUUUCCUCCGACAGUCAGAGCUGGUGGAAAUAAGCAGAAGGUUUGCACUGCGCAGAGAGAAACCAGAGCACGGCGUUCACUGUGUACAUGUUUCUGCUGGAACGAGAACACAAACAUUGAAUAUAGAUAAGCAGGCUUUAUCUUAGUGAGUGUGGGUUAUCACAUUCAUAGCACGGGCGCGGAGAUACCGAUCAGAGAUACAUUCAGUUCCAGUUUUGACUUUGGACUCAAGGUUAUGGAAUCCAAUGCUAUCGAUGUUUUGUUUUGUUUUCAAAAAAUCCCGUGCUCACUACUUUUAAAAAAGAAAACGAAAAUGUACUUAUACUUGUAAGUGUAUCAUUAUCUCUACACGUGUCACUUUCCGACUGAUUAUUUUGUUUUUCCAUGUACAACCUUGAAGACUCAUCGUG
ensembl:lncRNA